AGAAAAAAUAAUAGAAAUGCAAAUGGAAAGAUUAUAUUUGUCACCCCAUUUGUCAGAUAAAUUGCAAAAAUAAGAAAAAUACAUUUUAAAAAGACUAAAUACAUUAUUUUUUUUUAUGUAAAAAAAAAAAAAAAUGCUUCUUGAUUUCAGAAUCUUUCAUAUUUUGACAGGAAACAAUUAAUCCAGACGUACAAGCCUUCCAUCAAAAGGAUAUUCGGGUCAUCUACUCAACUAAAAUAUGUGGUGCUCAUCUGGAAAACGGCGAGUAUCUUCUGUCAGGAAAUAUUGUGGAUGGAGUGAUGAUUUUUGGUUUAUGUGACCUUGUGUGGCGUUGGGACCAACUCUCCUCCGUUCAAAAGGGGAACCUCAGCAUGUAUCAGAGAGGCUGUGUCUGUGAGAUUACAUCCUGUACUGGAGCAUCCUGUUUGACCAAGAAGCUUCAAAGAAAGUGUCUGAUAGGAGUCAAAAAAUCACUCAGUCUUGAUUAUGAAGACGCUCUUCAGGCUGUUUGCCUGCCACGCAGCGACGGCUCCUGCAAAUGGCAAAAAUGAAUUAAAACUACAAAAGCUCCUAAAAAUGAUGCCCUGAAGACCAAGUGCAUCCACCAGUUUGGACAUUUAUUCUUCAGAAUGCUUGGAACAUUCUUAAAUGAAUUUAAACUUUACUGGAGCUUUGCGAUGCACUCAGCAAAUACAUACAAAACGGUGUUUUCAUGGAGAUAUGCCAUUAACCAUUAAACUGUUUUUCAUGUAAAAGCAUCUGUGUAUUUAAUGGGAGAUGUAAGCAUGUGUAUAAAUAUGGAUGUUCUUUGUGCCAAUGCUUUAUAUCCAGUGCAUUCACCUGGCAUUGUUUUCACUUUACUAUUUUGAUUUGCACUAAACGGCAAUGUUUAAGGUUCCUUUCCACAGAACCAAAGCCAGAUCAACUUUAAUUUAAGCUUGUAUUUCACUUAGUUUGUAUGGCACGUGUGCUGGUCAUAAUUAGAAUAUCAUCAAAAAGUUGAUUUUAUUUCACUAAUUCCAUUCAAAAAGUGAAACUUGUAUAUUAUAUUCAAAUGUUUAUUUCUUUUAAUUUUGGUGAUUAUAACUGACUACUAAGGAAAAUCCCAAAUUCAGUAUCUCAGAAAAUUAGAAUAUUGUGAAAAGGUUCAAUAUUGAAGACACCUGGUGCCACAUUCUAAUCAGCUAAUUAACUCAAAACACCUGCAAAGGCCUUUAAAUGGUCUCUCAGUCUAGUUCUGUAGGCUACACAAUCAUGGGGAAGACUGCUGACUUGACAGUUGUCCAAAAGAUGACAAUUGACACCUUGCACAAGGAGGGCAAGACACAAAAGGUCAUUGCAAAAGAGGCUGGCUGUUCACAGAGCUCUGUGUCCAAGCACAUUAAUAGAGAGCCGAAGGGAAGGAAAAGAUGUGAUAGAAAAAAAGUGUACAAGCAAUAGGGAUAACCGCACCCUGGAGAGGAUUGUGAAACAAAACCCAUUCAAAAAUGUGGGGGAGAUUCACAAAGAGUGGACUGCAGCUGGAGUCAGUGCUUCAAGAACCACUACACAAAAACGUAUGCAAGACAUGGGUUUCAGCUGUCGCAUUCCUUGUGUCAAGCCACUCUUGAACAACAGACAGCAUCAGAAGCGUCUCGCUUCAAAAAGGACUGGACUGCUGCUGAGUGGUCCAAAGUUAUGUGCUCCGAUGAAAGUAAAUUUUUGCAUUUCCUGCCCCUAAACCUACCCGUCACUGGGGUCUAGGCAAAUCGUAUGAAAUCGUACGAGUGAGGUCGUACAAAUUCGUACGAAUUAGCCACCUCGUAAAAUACGUACGAAUUGGUCGUGAGAUAGCGUUGAGUGGACUG
rnacentral:lncRNA from 1 species